rnacentral:rRNA from 1 species
GGGGGAGGGAGGUAAGCCUGAUCCAGCCAUGCCGCGUGUGUGAAGAAGGUCUUCGGAUUGUAAAGCACUUUAAGUUGGGAGGAAGGGCAGUAAGCUAAUACCUUGCUGUUUUGACGUUACCGACAGAAUAAGCACCGGCUAACUCUGUGCCAGCAGCCGCGGUAAUAA